rnacentral:rRNA from 1 species
UGAGGAAUAUUGCACAAUGGGCGAAAGCCUGAUGCAGCAACGCCGCGUGAGGGACGAAGGCCUUCGGGUCGUAAACCACUUUUCGGGGACGAGUAAGGACGGUACUCCAGGAAUAAGUCUCGGCUAACUACGUGCCAGCAGCCGCGGUAAAACGUAGGAGGCGAGCGUUAUCCGGAUUUACUGGGCGUAAAGCGUACGCAGGUGGCUUCGUUAGUCGGACAUGAAAGCUCCUGGCUUAACUGGGAGAGGUUGUUCGAUACUGCGGGGCUUGAGGUUGGGAGAGGGACGUGGAAUUCCCGGUGUAGUGGUGGAAUGCGUAGAUAUCGGGAGGAACACCAGUGGCGCAAGCGGCGUCCUGGCCCACACCUGACGCUGAGGUACGAAAGCGUGGGUAGCAAACAG